UACGUAGGGGGCAAGCGUUGUCCGGGUUUACUGGGUGUAAAGGUCGCGUAGGUGGGUUUGUAAGUCAGAGGUGAAAUCCUGCAGCUUAACUGUAGAACUGCCUCUGAUACUGCAAAUCUUGAGUUCAGAAGAGAGAAGCGGAAUUCCAGGUGUAGUAGUGAAAUACGUAGAUAUCUGGAAGAGCACCAGUGGCGAAGGCGGCUUCUUGGUCUGUAACUGACACUGAGGCGCGAAAGCGUGGGGAGCAAACAGG
rnacentral:rRNA from 1 species